UCGUCCAUCGUAUACCAUUGUGACGCCGCCACCAUUUUCUUCCUCACCGCUGGUCGUCCGACAAUCUCUCUCAACCUCAUCUCCUUCUUCCCCUUCCUGUUGCUCGAGUAUUUAUGUAAACAUAAGCACCAAAACAUUUCGUCGCUUCCCAUUUUUCUACGCGGCAGCAAGAGGCAAUGAAGGAGGAGGAGGGAGGGAGGGAGCGAGAGAGCAAGAAUCGCCUACUUUUUGCUUCUCGAAUCCACCUCGUUGCCUUAAAAUUUUGCUUCCUCUGCGUUUAUUUUGCUUUCCGAGUAGAUCUGAUCGCCCCUGCCAACUGACAAUUUUCCUCCCUGCCUUCUCAAUUUGAUGCUUGAUGAGGCUCUCGGUCAAGAACCUCGUGUUCUUCUUCGCCGUGGUUUUCUCGUGUCCUUCUGGAUUUCCUUCUCCUUCCUCACCUUCCUCGAUUUUUCGUUUCCUAAUCAGAGAGAAAGAAACGACAAUCGGGAAGAAAGAUAGCGGGGAAGAGGAGGAGAAGAUGACGACGACAAGAGAAUGGGGAAUUGCUUUGGUUCGUCUUCAAGAUCUCCCACUCCUGCAGUUGCCACACCGUAAGUCCAGGUCGCUCGACGUCAAGGACCAGCGGUAGCGAGACGACCACCGGGAAGCUGUCGAACCUCAACAGCAGCACGACCCUAGGGGAGUCCUCCGGCAAUGGCAUCAGCGUCGAGAAGGUGUUCCUGGAGGGGAGGAUCCUGGAGGCGCCCAACCUUCGCGUCUUUACCUUCGUCGAGCUCCGGAGCUCCACUAGGAACUUCAAGCCCGAGUCCAUUCUCGGAGAGGGUGGAUUCAGGAAGGUGUAUAAGGGCUGGGUGGAGGAGAAGACUCUCAAUCCUUCCAAGAGCGGCGUGGGCACGUUGGUGGCUGUGAAGAACCUCAACCUUGAAAGCGUGCAAGGGUUGGAGGAGUGGCAGGUCUGAGAUACUCUCCCUUCCUCCCCUUGUGUAAUAUCUGCUAUUCCUUCUUCUGCUUCUUUAGAUUUGUGACAUAUAACUCAUUAUGGAUUAUUGAAAAUUCAACUUUUAUUGCAGUUUGUAGUAGAAAUCAA